rnacentral:rRNA from 1 species
GUAAGGAAUAUUGGACAAUGGGGGCAACCCUGAUCCAGCGACGCCGCGUGAGUGAUGAAGGCCUUCGGGUCGUAAAGCUCUGUUGCAGGGGAAGAACACAAUGACGGUACCCUGCUAGAAAGGAUCGGCUAACUUCGUGCCAGCAGCCGCGGUAAGACGAGGGAUCCUAGCGUUGUUCGGAAUUAUUGGGCGUAAAGCGGGUGCAGGUGGCUUGGUAAGUCAGAUGUGAAAGCCUGGGGCUUAACCCCAGAAGUGCAUUUGAUACUGCUGAGCUUGAGUGCUGGAGAGGCUAUUAGAAUUCCUGGUGUAGUGGUGAAAUACGUAGAUAUCAGGAGGAAUACCGGAGGCGAAGGCGGAUAGCUGGCCAGACACUGACACUCAGACCCGAAAGCGUGGGGAUCAAACAGGAUUAGAUACCCUAGUAGUCC